CCUGUCUCAUUAGAGAAGAAGUUAGUGCUUUUGAAAGCUUGCCUCUUACUCAUUCAGCUAAUUUACAAAGGUUACAGACACUAUUCUCAAGAAGGUUACAGACUAGUGAGAGAAAGGAGAACUGCUGUCCACACAGGAGUGAGACCCCGUAGCUGCAUUUGUAACAUGUGACUUUAUUCUUCUCUACAGAAGACCGGAUGGUAGGGAAACAUUUGCUCAUCAGGGUCAAUGUAUUCUCUCCCCCAAUUUUGUAGUUGGAACACAGCAAUUCAGGCCAAUUUUGACUGCCAGAUAUUAAAGGACAUGUGAACUUAGGGCUGGGCUGAAGCAGAGGCUGUGGCAGCCAUUUGAGCACCCAUUUUGGAACAACAUGCACCAAGAGACAAGCACAGAGAAUGGUCUUCGGCAAGAAGCAGGAUGAUAACAAACAGGAAGAAGACAGCUAGAUUUUCAGUUCUGGAGAACAGUCUCUUUUCCUGAAAGCAUUUCAGUUCUAGAUCUAGCUCUAGGCCAGCCCUGGCUGUGUUCCUACUGCUAUGGUCUCAGAGGUUACAUGGCAUCUUUAUACAUUUUCUAUUUUUCUUCUUAAUUUACUGUGUGAAUGUCUGUUUCUUUCUGCUUCAUCUACAUCAUCAGUCUUUUCUAACUUAUAACAAACUAUAAAAAUGCCAACUUUGCCAGUGGUAUUGUAUAGGAGACAUUAAGCUCCUUGGUUAGUUUGUAAGCGUUUAAGGACAGUGCUUUUAUCUUACCAAUUAUCUUACCAAUCUUACCUAUGGGUCAUAGCGCAGUGCCUCAUAUACAAUAAAUGCUCCAUAAAAAUGUGCUUUAUUAAAUGAACAUGAAGGAUUAAAUGAGAAUUUGGUAUAUCUGCACCAUCCACUGUGAUUCCCUCAAAUUUUUUUAUAUCAGUGGAUCACUUUCAUCUUUUUUACUUACUUCACAUUUUUAGAUGUACAACCCUUAAUCUUAACACCAAGAAGAAACAUCAAGCAUGCUGGCAAAUGAGCUAUAGGCAAGGCUACAUAUCUGAUGAUUAUUGUCUAGGACAUCAGUCAAAUGGCAGCUGGACAAUUUUUAAUACUUUAAGAAAGUCUGGUUAUUGAUUGUUCUUUCUGUAUUUCAUUUUUUUUUACAUUUCUGCCCUUUUUCAGGUGAUUGGAUCCUAGGAACUUCCAGACAACUGUACAACUCUAUAAAGUGUUGAUGUCAUUAAAUCACACAUGAGGAAGAGCUUUUGCUCUUUUUUAACUUCCAGUCCUAACACAUUUAUAAGGGCUCUGAAAAACAAAGAGCCCUACAGGCUUCCGUUGUGUUUAUGGCCAUUCCCACCUUGCAGGUUUUUAUAGAUGCCUCAUCUGAAGUGUUUUGUAAAUCAAAUGAACUGGAUGGGUGAGAUUUUCUUUCUCCCAGAGUGAGAGGUCAUUAUUUUCUAGAGAGAAUUCAGUCAGUAACAGAAUUGAAGGCUCUGCAACAUUACUCCACCUUUUACUUUUUCAUUGAAGAAAUCAUGGUCCUGACAAUUUACCCACUUUUACUUUUACCCAGGUCUUCACUGAAUCAUGUUAUAUUGUUUUCAACAAAUAUCUUUUGUUUUUUUUCUGCAGUUAGGGGUAGAGAUAGUGAUAAUAGGGAAGAGAAGGGAAGUAGAGAAAGUCAGGAAGAGAAAUUGUAUUGAGCUUUACUUUUAGAAAUACAAAAAACUACUAGAGAAGAGUAAUGGAGACUUAUGGAGAGCUGUUUUGCAAUUAAGAAAUCUUUUUUUCUCCUACUUUUCCUUUGCUCUCAAAAACUUAUUGUGAUCAUCUAUCUUUAUACAUUGAUAUGUUUCACUAAGUAGUCAGGGAAGGACACAUUAACCUUGAUAUAUCAAUAUAGGACAAGAUGAAAGGUGCCUGUCAACUUGUACCUACUGAGUCUGAAUCAUUUUGUCCAUGAAAGUCACAAUAUCAAACACAAAAUUUUGGAGCUGGAAGAGACUUUAGUCAUUACAUAAUAAUGAAUUUUGUCAUUAAUAUAAUAUUUGUUUAAAUUCCAUCUUAUCCAAAGAUUUCAUUUUGUGUAUGAGA